rnacentral:rRNA from 1 species
GACGAACGCUGGCGGCAUGCCUAACACAUGCAAGUCGAACGGAGAAUCGCUUCGGUGAUUCUUAGUGGCGAACGGGUGAGUAACGCGUAGGCAACCUGCCCUUUGGAUGGGGACAACAUUCCGAAAGGAGUGCUAAUACCGAAUGUGACGAUUUUACCGCAUGGUUUAAUCGUGAAAGAUGGCCUCUACAUGUAAGCUAUCGCCAAAGGAUGGGCCUGCGUCUGAUUAGCUAGUUGGUGGGGUAACGGCUCACCAAGGCGGCGAUCAGUAGCCGGUCUGAGAGGAUGAACGGCCACAUUGGGACUGAGAUACGGCCCAGACUCCUACGGGAGGCAGCAGUGGGGAAUAUUGGGCAAUGGGGGGCAACCCUGACGCAGCAACGCCGCGUGAAGGAUGAAGGUCUUCGGAUUGUAAACUUCUGUUUUAAGGGACGAAAAUGACGGUACCUUAAGAGGAAGCCACGGCUAACUACGUG